rnacentral:lncRNA from 1 species
CCGGUUGGACCUGCUUGACAUUGCCCUAGGCAAUGUAGGAGGACGGGCGCUCAUGCCCUCAUCCUCAGGUGGCACUCCAGUCAAUCUCGCUGAUCGACGAGUUCCCCUCAUCCUGUUUUCUGAAAAACAGUACACAUAGCACAAACAUUAGCAUCAUAUGGUUCAUGUGGGCACACAUGAACCCGCAUCACAUACACCAC